rnacentral:rRNA from 1 species
GGGAAUAUUGGACAAUGGGGGAAACCCUGAUCCAGCGAAGCCGCGUGAGUGAAGAAGUAUUUCGGUAUGUAAAGCUCUAUCAGCAGGGAAGAAAGAAAUGACGGUACCUGACAAAGCAGNCACGGCAAAAGACGUGCCCGCAGCCGCGGUAAUACGUAGGGGGCAAGCGUUAUCCGGAUUUACUGGGUGUAAAGGGAGCGUAGACGGCAAUGCAAGUCAGAUGUGAAAGCCCGGGGCUCAACCGCGGGACUGCAUUUGAAACUGUGAUGCUGGAGUGCAGGAGAGGUAAGUGGAAUUCCUAGUGUAGCGGUGAAAUGCGUAGAUAUUAGGAGGAACACCAGUGGCGAAGGCGGCUUACUGGACUGUAACUGACGUUGAGGCUCGAAAGCGUGGGGAGCAAACAGG